rnacentral:rRNA from 1 species
UGCUAUAUAAUUCCGGAUCUCAGAUCAAGCAAGAGG